rnacentral:rRNA from 1 species
CAAUAGCGUAUAUUAAAGUUGUUGCAGUUAAAAAGCUCGUAGUUGAAUUUCGGGUCCCCGCGCUCGGCGCUUCAUUGUGCCGUCGUGGUGUCCCUCCUCGCCGUAAGGCGUCCUUUACUGUGAAAAAAUUAGAGUGUUCAAAGCAGGCAAUCGCUUGAAUACAUUAGCAUGGAAUAAUAAGAUAGGAUCUUGUCUAUUUUGUUGGUUGCGGACAACGAUAAUGAUUAAUAGGGAUAGUUGGGGGUGUCCGUAUUGAGCUGUCAGAGGUGAAAUUCUUGGAUUUGCUCAAGACGAACUACUGCGAAAGUAUUCACCAAGGAUGUUUUCAUUAA